GUAGGGAAUAUUGGGCAAUGGAGGCAACUCUGACCCAGCCAUGCCGCGUGCAGGAAGACGGUCCUCUGGAUUGUAAACUGUUUUUGAAUGGGAAGAAACGUAGCUUUGCGAAGCUAUUUGACGGUACUAUUAGAAUAAGCACCGGCUAACUCCGUGCCAGCAGCCGCGGUAAUACGGAGGGUGCAAGCGUUAUCCGGAUUGAUUGGGUUUAAAGGGUGCGUAGGCGGCUUUAUAAUUCUGGGGUUAAAGGCGGCAGCUUAACUGUACGCAUGCCCUGGAAACUGUGAAGCUUGAGUGACUUGGAGGUAGCUAGAAUUCCCUGUGUAGCGGUGAAAUGCAUAGAUACGGGGAGGAAUACCGAUUGCGAAGGCAUGUUACUACGAGUAAACUGACGCUGAUGCACGAAAGCGUGGGGAUCAAACAGGAUUAGAAACCCUGGUAGUCC
rnacentral:rRNA from 1 species